rnacentral:rRNA from 1 species
GAACGCUAGCGGCAGGCUUAACACAUGCAAGUCAGGGGGUAUAGUAGCAAUACUAGAGACCGGCGCACGGGUGCGUAACGCGUAUGCAAUCUACCUUUUGCAGGGGAAUAGCCCAGAGAAAUUUGGAUUAAUGCCCCAUAGUAUAAUGACUCGGCAUCGAGAUAUUAUUAAAGUCACAACGGCAAAAGAUGAGCAUGCGUCCCAUUAGCUAGUUGGUAAGGUAACGGCUUACCAAGACUACGAUGGGCAGGGGUCCUGAGAGGGAGAUCCCCCACACUGGUACUGAGACACGGACCAGACUCCUACGGGAGGCAGCAGUGAGGAAUAUUGGACAAUGGGCGCAAGCCUGAUCCAGCCAUGCCGCGUGCAGGAUGACGGUCCUAUGGAUUGUAAACUGCUUUUGUACAGGAAGAAACACCUCUACGUGUAGAGACUUGACGGUACUGUAAGAAUAAGGAUCGGCUAACUCCGUG